CGGGGGGCUGCACCAGUGAGGAAUAUUGCACAAUGGGGGGAACCCUGAUGUAGCAACGCCGCGUGGAGGAUGACGCAUUUCGGUGUGUAAACUCCUUUUAUAUGUCAAGAAAAUGACGGUAGCAUAUGAAUAAGCACCGGCUAACUCCGUGCCAGCAGCCGCGGUAAUACGGAGGGUGCAAGCGUUACUCGGAAUCACUGGGCGUAAAGGACGCGUAGGCGGGUUGGAAAGUCAGGUGUGAAAUCCUACAGCUUAACUGUAGAACUGCACUUGAAACUUCUAAUCUAGAGUAUGGGAGGGGGAGAUGGAAUUAGUGGUGUAGGGGUAAAAUCCGUAGAUAUCACUAGGAAUACCUAAAGCGAAGGCGAUCUCCUGGAACAUUACUGACGCUAAGGCGUGAAAGCGUGGGGAGCAAACAGGAUUAGAUACCCGUGUAGUC
rnacentral:rRNA from 1 species